UGUCACGUGGGGCGCGGCCCGCACGGCCCGCGUGCGGUUUCUCGCAGGAACGGCUCACUGUCAUCCCGUUUCUGUCCCGUUCCUGUCCCCGUCCAUCUCAGAGCUGGGCAGGGCGACGCCACGCCAGGCUGGGUCAGCACACUCUUCCGCACACCAGUGGCCCGCCCCUGCUCGGUGAGCUGGGGUUUGUUCCACUGCAGGUGCUGAGCACGGCCCUGCUGGCAGCAGGCUCUGCCACUUGGACACCCAUCUGAUAAUUGCCUUUAUCCGCCACAUGCCUCAAGACCUCCACGCUGCCCUUGGGGCAGGAAAGUUUCGCUGUUUCUUGUGAAACAGGAACAUCCAGGACAGCAGCGCACAGCCCCAUUGGCACGCCGCCUGCAUCCCACAAACAGCACACAGCUGUUUGCCAGAGUGGGAGCUGCAGGGACAAUGCGGUGCAGCCAGAGAGCAGCAUGGGCACAGCUCCCUGCCGGCCACAAGGUGCCUGGUGCCACGCUGUUGUUCUUGUGAGGCAGAACAAAGUCCCCAUGCCAUGCCAGGGACCGAGGGGACGGCGCAUCCCCCCUGCUUGCUCACGUGCUCCUCCUGCCACUGGCACUCCAUGGCACCAGGGCUAGCACAGAGCCUGAUACAUCAACAUCUGUGUUUGUUCCUCCCCCAGCAGCCAGAAACAGGGGAUGUGGAGAAAAAUCACCCCCUAGGAUAGGAGGAGGGGUGGUGGAAGCCUCACCAAUACAGGCGUGGCCUGCACACCGGCACUUACAGCAUCUCCUUGUUGAUCACUUUAAACUUCCCGUUCUCCUUCAGAGAGUAGUUUGCCUGGACACAGCUUCCUUUCUCGAAAUUUGAGGGCAGCUUUUCUAUCUCGUACCAUUUUCCCAAAUACUGAGAAAAGAAAGUCAAGAGAGAAGCUUGGAGCACAAGGACUGGAGGUGGAACGGCUGAGCCCACUGGGUUUAUGUGAGCCACAGGCACUGCAGCAGGGUGGCUCCUCCUGCACAGGGCUGGGUUGGACCGGGAGCAGGGCACCGGUAUCACUGCUGCCAUUGGGCUUCCAAGUCACCACCGACCCAUAUCUGAGCACUGUGCCACUGCUCCUGUGCCACCCAAACCCCCUCACUGCCUGCUGUGAGGCUUUAGAAUCACUUCACACCUUGUUGAUAUCGAAGUCCUGCUGCACUGGUGGGUCUGGGCAUGGUCCCAUGUGGAACAUCUGUGCGUUCCCCAAGCCGAGGAGACCGAGCAGGACUGAGAGCUGCACUGCCAUGCCCAGCAUGGCUGUGCUGGUGGGAAACAGACCUGGGAAGGAGGAAAAAAGCUGCAUUUGGUCCUGAGAGGUGACAGGAAGGACAGCGCAGCUUCAGGUGCUGGGGUGCUCACAAUUUCAUCAACACCAAAUGAAGUGUGAUCUGACCCCUGCGAGGUGUGCUGUGAGGAGGCAGAGGGCACGUUUCCUGCAGCACAGCCCCCAGCCCCAUGCCCCAGGCACGAUGCAGCAUCCUUCAUGAUGUGCUGAGCAGUGCAGAGCCGGGUGAGACCUGUGCCUUCUACCCCACAUAGACCCAGCUCCACAACCCUGCCCACACGGUCCGGGCAUGGAGCUGCUCUGCGUCCAGAAAGGAGCGGCAGCGGCAUUUCCCCAAGUUUUGAAGAUGAGCCCAGCCUGCCUCCAGCUGCAGGGCAUGGCCUCUCUGUGGACAAACACAGCAUCUCCUAGCUCAUACACGUACCUUGGCUGAUGAGACACAGCGAUGCUCCGCGAAGGACCAGGUCCGUACAGAACAGCUCUGCAGGGAGAUCUCCACCCCUCUUUUUAUAAGCGAGCCAGGAUUCUCAUUAUUCAGCACCAGCACAAGCCACUCCCUGGCCUUGGACGUGUUUUACUUUGCGGAGGGCCGGUCGGCUGCCUUGGAUCCGUGGUUGGUAUGGGGCCAGGGAUGGGCCGUGCCUUGGCUGCUCACCCAUGCAAACAGCACCCCUCGUCUCUGCGCUCUGCUCCCUGCUGCUGGGCAGCCCCGGCCGGCCGCUCACACAGCCCUGUGGCUGCACACAGCGGGAGGGAGAACCUGCAGCCCUGCCCUGUUGCACUGACCCAUCACUGUGCUCCUGGGUGAGAUGUGACCGUCCCGUCUCGCACAGAGCCUGUCCUCUGCCCCACGUCCCACGGACCCUUGGUGUGCACGGAAUGGGGUCUGUACUGCAGCGUGGUGCCACCCCAUGGCCGACCCACAGAGGGGCCUCCUGCUGGGGGGAGCACCGGCUGCUCACAGCCACCUCUGUGCAGGGUCUGCCUGGUGACACAGGCUGGCAGUGUGUGCAGUGCUUGUGCAAGGCAGCUCCCAGUCAUCCUGGUCAGACCCAGCGCACGGGGAGGAUGAAGUGCAGGAAGCACUGCAGGAAUGCUGAGGAGCCGCAGGGUCUUUUGGCAGUUUGUUUUCCAGACUUGUCUCAUCCCGAAUGAAAGGUGUCAAUGUAAUUAGUGGUAUGCUGAGCUGACAGCCCUUCCAACAGGUGCCCAGCAAAUGGCUCUGACAGCAGAGCAGUCAUCUGUGCAUCCGCCGGGCCCAUGCGUUAUGCAAGGAGCUGGGUGGCAGCCAGCUGCCCCGUGUGGUUAAUUGCUGUCUUUAAAACCUUAUAUCUGCUGAGACUUUCACUCUGUGUGCACUUACAUGUGUGUGCACAUCCUAGGGAUCCCCUGGCUGCUCACAUGAUGCCCCAAGAGCCACAAAUAUCCCUCCCAAAAAGCCCAUGCAGGGACAGUCAGGCCAUGAUGGGCCCCUUCAGGUGCAUUAAGACAGAACCGAGGUGAGCUGACAGCUGGGUCCUGGCUGCUGGGCUGCCUGGUGCCUGGGCUGUCCCUCUGUAUCUGCCCGGCCACACAGAGCCAAGGGUCAGGGGGAAGCUGAAGCUGAGCCUCCCGAGCAGCUUAAUUGCAGGGUGCAGAGAGCUCAUCUCCAGCUGGCGGGUGGCUCCUGGCCCGGGGCGGAGGAGGGAGGCACAUCAAAGAGCAGGAAGCUGGGGCAGGGCUGGGAGCACAGGAAGGAGGAGAGGUGGGGGGAAGCCGAGCCCAGGGAGAGCAGGAGGUGCCCGGAGCGCUGCUGCAGGAACGGCGCCUCCACCCGUGUCUGGGUGCCAAAGCGCUCUGACCAGAUGCUGCUGCCCGCUCCUCACCGUGCACCCCAGGGAUGCCUGCUUAGGGCGGGAGGCAAUGGAACCCCUCCUUGCACUGAGAGCCUGAGGCAGGGAGGGGUCUCCUCCAAAAUGCCGUCUCCCCCGUCCACCUCUGCCAUGGAGAGCGCCGCAGUGUGCACACUGACUGUGGUACUGCUUAGAAGCUCCACGUGGAAGUGCUUCUCAGGGAGCACAGCAUGCGGUGGAUGCAGGGCUGGAUGGCUCCUGGGGCUGCUGCUUGUGGCAGGGUGGUGGAGCUGCCCUGGGAUUUUCAGUUGCAAAGGAUGGGAGAGCAGCUGGAAAAGCCUCUGUUGGAGGCACUGCAGUGACCAGGAGCUCAGCCUCUGCUGUGGGACACCAGCAGCUCCUGCCUCAGUGCUGGAGCAAGAAUGUCCUGGGGCCACGGCAGAGAUCCAGCACAGGGACAACACUGUGGCUCUUCCUCAUACAGAAGGUUCCUUUCUUCCCUUUCUCUGUCUUCUCCCCUGCAAGUUCAUCUGGAGUGUUUUUCUACCUCCUCUAAAGGAAACGUGGUUUUGGGAAGGCCAAACAGGCCAAAACAUGCACUGAGACAAAAAUGAGCCCAGAGGGGAAAAGGCAGAGAAAAGAAGGGCAGGUGGGAAUUCUUCUCCGUUUCUAGGAGUGGCAGAAAGUGCUUUGAAAUCUGUUUGUGCAAAAUGGUGUAAAAAUUCCAAUUACAGCUAUAGAACCGAAGGAAAUAAACAAGCCCUGGAAGCAA